rnacentral:rRNA from 1 species
UAGUUCGGAAUUACUGGGCGUAAAGCGCACGUAGGCGGCUUUGUAAGUUAGAGGUGAUAGCCUGGAGCUCAACUCCAGAAUUGCCUUUAAGACUGCAUCGCUUGAAUCCAGGAGAGGUGAGUGGAAUUCCGAGUGUAGAGGUGAAAUUCGUAGAUAUUCGGAAGAACACCAGUGGCGAAGGCGUCUCAC